rnacentral:rRNA from 1 species
UUCCGGUUGAUCCCGCCGGACCUGACUGCUAUCGGAUUGAUACUAAGCCAUGCGAGUCAUUGUAGUAAUACAAGGCAGACGGCUCAGUAACGCGUAGUCAACCUACCCUAUGGACGGGGAUAACCUCGGGAAACUGAGAAUAAUACCCGAUAGAACAUUAUACCUGGAAUGGUUUAUGUUUCAAAUAAUUUAUUGCCGUAGGAUGGGACUGCGGCCUAUCAGUUUGUUGGUGAGGUAAUGGCCCACCAAGACUAUCACAGGUACGGGCUCUGAGAGGAGUAGCCCGGAGAUGGGUACUGAGACACGGACCCAGGCCCUAUGGGGCGCAGCAGGCGAGAAAACUUUGCAAUGUGCGAAAGCACGACAAGGUUAAUCCGAGUGGUUUCUGCUAAAGGAACCUUUUGUCAGUCCUAGAAACACUGGUGAAUAAGGGGUGGGCAAGUUCUGGUGUCAGCCGCCGCGGUAAAACCAGCACCUCAAGUGGUCAGGAUGAUUAUUGGGCCUAAAGCAUCCGUAGCCUGCUUUGUUAGUUUUCGGUUAAAUCCAUACGCUUAACGUAUGGGCUGCCGGGAAUACUGCAAAGCUAGGGAGUGGGAGAGGUAGACGGUACUCGGUAGGAAGGGGUAAAAUCCUUUGAUCUAUUGAUGACCACCUGUGGCGAAGGCGGUCUACCAGAACACGUCCGACGGUGAGGGAUGAAAGCUGGGGGAGCAAACCGGAUUAGAUACCCGGGUAGUCCCAGCUGUAAACUAUGCAAACUCAGUGAUGCAUUGGCUUGUGGCCAAUGCAGUGCUGCAGGGAAGCCGUUAAGUUUGCCGCCUGGGAAGUACGUACGCAAGUAUGAAACUUAAAGGAAUUGGCGGGGGAGCACCACAAGGGUGAAGCCUGCGGUUCAAUUGGAUUCAACGCCGGAA